AUCAAAUUCCAUAGUCCUGAAGAGUUCGCUCCGCGUCACGGCUCGUCCCCUUCGACGGCGAAACUUGGCGGGAGGUCGGAAGCGCUCGAGCGCGCAGGACCUCGACUCUCGGUCUCGCUUCGUCGACGAUCGCUCGAUCGCGACGGAGCGAUCUCGAGACACGAAGCCUCCGGCGCGGCUCCAGAUCCCUCCUCUCGCUUUUCCGCCUCGCCGCGUACGUGGCCGGCGUUCAUCCGCUUCUCCGGCCGGGCGCGUGCGGUCUUUCUCGACGACGACCUCCCGCGCUAGCGUUAGGUUCGGAUUUGGUUUCGCCCGAGGGGGGAGCGCGUAUCGCGAGAGUGGAGGAGGGGGUUCUGUUUUGGAGCGGAAAGCGGGGGAGUAAGUUGACUCGAGAGAGAAUUUUCGGCGUUCUUUCUGAUUCGGUCGUGUGUUUUGUUGCGAUGCAUUAGCGCUCGCUCUGUUAGGCGACGCAUCGAUCGUUUCCCGAGAGCCUUGCAACUUCUGAUGGUUUUUUUCGGAGUGAUGUGGAGUCUAACCGUUUAAUUCCAAAGUGCAAAACCGCGCGGGAUCGUGUUCGAUAAUUUGUCGGAAUGUUUUGAAUGUCGUUGAAAAUUUAUUAGCAGAUGUUUGAAUAAAGGUUUCGACUGACAUAUGGGCCUUUGGCUUCUAAACUCUUGCUUCUGGUUUGAAAGUUUGAAUGCAUUCUUUUCGAGGUUUGCUCAGGUUCCCUGGGAAGAGUGACACGUCACUCCACGCACAAGGGUUUCGAAAAGACUUAAUUAAACAUAGGGUGUUUACUACACCCAACAUUAUGGUAGAAUCAUGAUAGGGCCUUAUAUUAUAUCUGUUUGAUUUGUUGGUAGUAGCUGUUAGAUUCUUUUGUGAAAUGUUGCCAUUUUUCAGACAAUCUAUAUUAGGACAAGAAAACGUGGCAAGAAAAUGUGGGUAAUUUCUUUGUCUAUUUGAUAAAUCAUUCACUUUUUUUAUGGUUAGAAUAGUUUAAUGUUUCAAUGCUGUUCUGAUAUUGGUAUGAAACCUAGAUGCUGCCUCUGCAUGACGUAGCCAUAUCUGUUUCAUAUGGUCAAGACUGAAUAAUUACAGAGUGAGGCUUAGAAACAGCAAUGGGAGGAUACAUAUAAAAAAUUCUCAGUCAUUUAGUUCUCUUAUAUUCUUGCCUUUAGCGGUUCUUGUUACAAAACCUUACUGGAGCAGAAACUAAUAAGGAUUGUGCCCAUCUGUAUAAACUCUCCACACUGGAUUCCCCAAAAUUUGGAAGUGAAAACUUCUGAUCUUGUACCCGUUCCUAAGCUCUGUGAGCCUGAUUUUUCUUGAAUGAAGAAUAUUACGGGUAAAUAGAUGGCAUGCCAGCUAAUAACUUAAUAUGAGAUGCCAAAGAGAAAUAUGAUUGAUGUGAAUUUUUGGAAUUUAAGAAUGAGGUUCAAGUAUCAGUUUAUUGAAAUGGAAAAAUGGAUAGGUGCAAUUAUUUGAAUACCACAAGUGUAAUGAUUUUUGGAAGCUGAGAUUAUGUGUACUCCUUGAAUAUCUAUUCUCAGGAAGCUGAGAAAACAAUGUAGAACCUCUAAAUUCAGAUCUUGCAUCGCCUUCCUAAGCUCCACAAGCCAUUCCCCUUUCUUGCACGUGUAGAUUGCCAGGCCAGCAGAUGACAUACCAGUUGAUAAUCCUGGGUCUGCAAAUACUUUCCCAACUGUUCAGCAAUUUGACAGAGCUAUGAGCUACACCAUUGAAGAAGAUAUAUAAACUGUUUUGGGUUUUGACCAGAGUAUGGAAGAGGACUCUCAUUAAUGGAACUUAGAUUUCCUUUAUUAGUUGGAACUAUGAAGAGCUUACCUCUUUCAUGAGGACAUUUUUUGUAGAAAGAGAUUGCAAACAUUUUCAGUCCCCUGGUAAAUGAAAUUUCAAAGGAGUUCUUCAUCUUGCUUGAUUAGAAAUUUAAGAUGAUAGGGAUGUCCUAUGAUUAUUGAAUUUUGAUUUACUUGGGCACAAAGAUUCAGUUUGUGCAUUUUAAUGAAAAAAGUGCACUGGAAGGUGCACAAGUCCUUUCGCUGGGUGUUGCUUAUGUGGCAGUUUGAGAGGGUUCAAUGUCGGAAAAAUCAGAGAGGUUUUGAUUUGAAGGAUUUGAUUAAAUUUUUUUAAAAAGGUUUAGACUUGAUUGUAUCAAUUGAAAUAUAUAGAAUUUGAUUGCAUGUAAAUUUUACAUGUGAAGCUUAGGAUUUUGGUGAUAAUUUUUCUGAUUUGUGACAUAGCCAAGCCUCUCUCUAGAAUAAAGGAUGAUAAUAAGCUUUUGCUAUGACUAUAGAUUGAUGUAGCAUGCUUCAGUUGUGAUGGCACCGGAUGAAGAUGGAACUGUAAAUUGUUUCGAAUCAGAAGCUAGGAAGUAAUGGAAAAUUCUAAUGACAGAUUAGUUAAGUUAGAUGAGUUAUCUCCUGUAAUUGCUAUGUGUUUGAUGCUCUAGGGAGUCAUUACAGGAAAAAGAAAGUAUUUUGCAUUAUAAUUAAAAGAUUCGAGGCUUCCAUGUGAUUUAUAACUAGUUUAGUCAAGUUAGAUGUGAUUUAUAACUGCAAUUCCUUUAGUUUAAGUUAGAUGAGAGUCUAGGAUGUGAAUGCAUUUCGUAUGUGAAGCUUACGAAUGUUGGUGCAAUUUUCUCGAUUUUCGACAUUGUCAAACCUUUUUAUAAAAUAAAUGAAUUCUAAUAAGCUUUUGCUAUAACUAUAAUGUUGCAUGCUUCAAUUGUAAUGGAUGAAGUUGGAACUGGGAAUUGCUUAGAAUCAAAAUCUAGGAAGUAUUAGAAACUGUUAAUGACAGAUUAGUUAUGUUAGAUGAGUUUUUAUCUUCUGUGAUUGCUAUCUUCUGCUGGUUUGAAGGUCUUUGAUGCUCUAGGAAGUCAGUACAAAAUAAAAUUUCUGCAUCAUUAUUAAUCAACAGAUUUGAAGCUUCCGGGUGAUUUAUAACUAGAUUAGUUAAGUUAGAUGUGAUUUAUGACUAGAAUUCCUUUAGUUAAGUUAGAUGAGAGUUUGCGAUCUGAAUGCAUUUCAUAUAUGAAGCUUAGGAUUUUUGGUGCAAUUUUCCUGAUUUUCGACAUAGUUAAACCUCUCCCUAGAAAGUAAGGAAUUCUAAUAGGCUUUUGCUAUUGCUAUGAUGUUGCAUGCUUCAAUUGUAAUGGCACCAGAUGAAGCUGGAAGUGUAAAUUGCUUAGAAUCAGAAGCUAGGAAGUAAUAGAAAAUGCUAAUGACAGAUUAGUUAAGUUAGAUGAGAGUUUAUCUCCUGUAAUUGCUGUCUUCUGCUGGUUUGAAGGUGUUUGAUGCUCUAGGAAGUCUUGACAGAAAAAAUUCUACAUCAUCACUUACAGAGUCGAGGCACCCAUGUGAUUUAUAACUAGAUUAGUUAAGUUAGAUGAGAAUUUAUCUCCUGUAAUUGCUAUCUUCUUCUGGUUUGGAGGUGGUUGACGCUAUAGGAAGUUAUUAUGAACAGGAAAUUUCUGCAUCAGACUUCCAUGUGAUUUAUAACUGUUCAUUGGUAUGUUAGGCAUUAGGGGUGAUCGUUCUGUUCCUGAUCAUGCCUAGCAGAGAAACUUUUGCAAUAUGACUUAGAUUUAAUGGCCAUAACUAACUUAAUUUCAAUUUAAUUAAUGGAAAGCUAUGAAACUGUACUCCAUAAUGUUCUCCUGGCAUCUCAUCCUCUGUUAUUCUAUUUUACUGUGUCAAAGAUAUUAAAAGUCAUUAUACAAAAAGAAUUAUGUUUUUUUAAUUUAGAUUGACAGCCAUUGCUACUUAAAAACUUAGAUAUCUCCAAGGUACCUUCUUGUAAAACUGACCGAUCUUCACGCCAGAUUAAAAUGUUGUAAGCCAAGUACGAUUUUGGUGCAACUUGGUGUCUCUUCCCAGAUCUAUUGCCAUCCUGCCUUCAGGUAGAAUAUUGAAUGCGAUGGGGCCUUCCCAGGGCUCCCUGCAUUUCCAAGAUUCAUUCUUAGCUGGAUUUAAAAAAAAAAAAAAAAAAAAAACCUUAAAAGUGGAUUAAGCUGAAACUUAAGUUGCUGAGUUAGCUGUAAUCAUCUGUCUACUAUAAGGUUGUAAUUUUUCUGUACUGGAUUGUCAGUCAUCAAAUUUCUGUAUUAUUGUUUCGUACAUUCAGCUCCUUGAAUGAUUUAAACUUUUAAUGAGACAGCUUUUUCCUGUAAAGUAUAGCCUGUGGGGGCAGCUUGUGGAUGGGAUAAGAUUAUCAGAUGACACAGUAAAUCCAGUGGAGGCUCGUUUCUUAUUUUUUAAGCUAUAACCUUAAGACCAACCUGAAACUUUAAAUAAAAAUAUUUACAGGACCCAUAUUAUAGAGUUAGUUUUGGACUGGUAGUUGUUACUUCUUUUCUUUUUUCCAGCUAUAGGAGUUUUGAGUCAUUAUAACUCCUGCAGUUACUUUUAUGUGGAAACUAUAAUGCCUUAAGGGAGAUGAUUGAGUUUUGUAAUAGAAGAAAACUUUCAUGGGCAGAACCUUAUCCUGUGAACCGUCCUAUCUAUGAAAUGUUUGAACAGUUGCAGUAUAUAGUGGAUUCACUAAUUAUGUCAUUGAAAUGUCAAGAUUCAUGAUGGAUGGUUUGUGAAGAAAUGCGAUUGCUGUUCAUAAUCGGUAUUACAUAUACUGAACAUUAAAAUCGCAUUUCUGAAAUUUUACUCAUCAAGGUGAUGCUGCGAUGUAGUCAUAGUAACUGCAGUGUUCAGUGUUUGGAGUGGGAAGAAUAACAUAAAACACAGAUGUUCUUGUUUAGAGGGAUAUGGAAAGGCUCAAAGCAGAACAUGACAUCCUUACCCUGAAUGGAUGCUAAAGUGGAUGAUUUGCUCAUGUCAAGGGACAUGAACUGAUUGAGACAUACAGGAUGGCAAUAGAACAGUGGUACAUGGUACAUGUUUACAUUCCCUAACCUCAAUAUUGGUUGAUAGAUUUAUGUUCUAUGAAAGACAGGCACUAUGGAUCAUUAGAACCGUUAGUCUUAUUUUAAUAAUACCUAUAGCCUCUCUCUCUUUCUCUCUCUCUCCCCCUCCCUACACAGAUGUGGGUCAUUUCAUUUCAAUUCCCGACACAUGUUUUGGCAAGUUAUUAACUAGUGCCCACCUCUUCCCUUUCUCACAUGCAGAGAACACACGGAGAGAAAAUUUCUUGUCAUAGUUCAAUUACCAUUGGGGGACAAAGCAAAGUGGAGAAUCCAUUUUCCCCUUAAAGCUUGAAUGACCUUUAGGUGAAGUGCGAAGCAUUCAUGAAUGAGUGACACUAAAGUGUAUGUACACUCUUCAGAUCUCCUUAAAGAAUAACCUACUCCACAAAAUUUGUUAGCAUUUAUUCCAUCUCAUUAUAUUGCAUUAUUUGGUCCUGCAUGGCAAUCUGUGGUAGUAGCUUUUCACCUGCUGUCCAAAACAACCAUUUCAUCUACUCUUCAAUAACUACCUGUCUCCCAAAGUUGGAUAGGUUCUAAGGAGCUUUUGUCUGAAGCAUGAUCCCACAAACUUCCUGAAAACAUUGCUAAUACAGAUUGCUGUGCCAUCCUUAUUUGACUCGAUUUUCGGUGAAACAGCAUUGAAAUUGGAUGAUCUUUCCACAUGUCGUGGGCCCAACUCCUUUGGUGUUCCAGUUACCUUCCCGUUGCGUGUCGUGUUUGGAUUUUUUUAUCAGCUUGUUGAUUGGAAAUUUCUAAUUGAAUAUCUUGUUAUUAGCAUCAGACAUGACCAAUUACUUUACCAGAAAACUUAUAUGUGUAAGUACAAAUUCUUGUGUAAACAUGGUUUUGGCUUCUUGGAAGACCGCUUGAAUAAGCAAAAUCUUGUUACGUAA